GAUGAACGCUGGCGGCGUGCCUAAUACAUGCAAGUCGAGCGAACAGACGAGGAGCUUGCUCCUCUGACGUUAGCGGCGGACGGGUGAGUAACACGUGGAUAACCUACCUAUAAGACUGGGAUAACUUCGGGAAACCGGAGCUAAUACCGGAUAACAUGUUGAACCGCAUGGUUCCACAGUGAAAGACGGUCUUGCUGUCACUUAUAGAUGGAUCCGCGCCGCAUUAGCUAGUUGGUAAGGUAACGGCUUACCAAGGCAACGAUGCGUAGCCGACCUGAGAGGGUGAUCGGCCACACUGGAACUGAGACACGGUCCAGACUCCUACGGGAGGCAGCAGUAGGGAAUCUUCCGCAAUGGGCGAAAGCCUGACGGAGCAACGCCGCGUGAGUGAAGAAGGUCUUCGGAUCGUAAAACUCUGUUAUUAGGGAAGAACAAAUGUGUAAGUAACUAUGCACGUCUUGACGGUACCUAAUCAGAAAGCCACGGCUAACUACGUG
rnacentral:rRNA from 1 species